UGGAAUAAUUCUUGGUGUAUUAAUUGUGCAGAAAUUACAAUCAUAGGUGUUGAGGGAAAACUAUGUGAAAGAGCAAGCUUGACAUGGUCCGGGAAGUGCGGAAACACACAGAACUGUGAUAAGCAGUGCCAGAGCUGGGAAGGUGCAAAACAUGGAGCAUGUCACAAACGAGGCAAUUGGAAAUGCUUCUGUUACUUUAAUUGUUGAACAAGGAACAAGAAACUGAACCGUGCAUGCAUAAGUACCAUAUUAUUAGUACAAGUGUAAGUGUAACCUAAAUUAAUAAAAUGAAAUGCUUAUCACCAUGCAUGUAUUAAUCAUGUUAAAUAGCAAUUUCAUUGUUCACUACUAGCUUUCGCAUGAUAGCUAGAAGUUGUAACGAAAGAUGUAUCCCAUAAAUAUCAGUCGAUCGGUUAAUUUCAAUAUUAAUUCCAUGUUGUAUGAAUAAAAGAAAUAAUUAAUUGUUUCUCUCGGUUCCAACUUAUGAUCUGAAAGUACUUCAAAGGUUUUGUUUCAAACUUUCAAUUACCUUGAUGCUUAUGGAUGCUCGAUAUAUUUUUAACGUGUCUGUUGGGAUUGGAUCGGGUUCGACUAAUGCUAAUACGACAGGAAAGUGGAGGGUUGUAAGGGGGCAUUGUCCCCGUGUAAUUAAGCUUAAGAAUUAUUAGUAGUAUAUAUGAUCUUGAGUUUUACUAAAAGGAAGGAGAGAAUAAAUUAAUAAUAGUACUCCCUCUACUUCAAUAGUAAAUUUAAAAUAUUUUUAAUUUAAAAUUAAUAAGAAUUUAUUUAAUUUUUUUUAAUAGAAUUAUGAAUUACCUAAAAAGUAUGAGUAAUAUAUUAUGAGAUUAAUUUUGCUUCAAUCCUGAGAUAAAUCAUGGUAAUAUAUUAAAAAUUUUAAAAUGUCUCAACUAAAUUUUUUUAAAAUCAAUAUUGAUCUUAUAUUUGUAUAUAUUUUUACCAUUAUAUAAUAAGGUAUAAGAACGAGUUUUAAGCCGGGUAUUAUAGGUAGUUUUCGUCUUUCAACAUGAUUUUGGUCGCCCGAUAUUUUUCUUAAUUUGUAAUAUAUAUAUAGGUGGUAUUCGAUGAAAAUGAAUAGUACUUAAAAUCUGAAUUGUUAAUUAAUACAUCUAAAUUGAUAAUAGAUUAGACAAUCGGUCUAAAUGAGAAUCUGAAUAAAAAAUAUUAUUUAAUAAUUAACCUGCGUAAAGGCAGCAUUUUAAAAUUUUAACCCCCUAAAGAGAUAGAAAAGUCAAAUUAGAGUUAAAAUAGCAUUAAGGAUAAAAGAGGAAUAAUAUAAUGUUACUGAGGUUAUUUUUGUCUAAAAAAAUUCAAAUUUUGUAAGGGGUGUAAAUGAACCAAGUCAAACCGAAUAUAUUGAGUUACUCAUAUUUGGUUUAUAAAAUUUAUUAAGUAUGAACUAAGGUUUGAUUGAGACCUGUUUAGCUAUCGAGUAGGGUACGAUCUCAAUUGAGUCCGAACAAUUUGAAUUUUUUGAGCGAAAAUGAUCUGAAUAUUAAUAAAAAAAAUUACAAUUUGAAGAGGUUCAAAUAAUUUAUCGAAUCUUAAACUUUGCUCAUAUUUGAAUUGUUUAUAUUUAAAUCGUGUUUAAAUUGAAUUUUUAGUCAAACGAAUACAAAUCAAACUAACCCGAACCAUUUAGUGCAUUUUACAAUGUUAGAAACUAGAGGAUAUCUGCUUUGACUUUCUACAUCAAUUAAAAUUCGUCUUAGAAGGGUAAAAAUUAUCCUUAAGUACAGUGUAGUGUCAGGUAUGUCUCGCUGGACUAUCAAGAGUUCUUAAUUUUUUCUAAAAAAAUUUCAACAGCUCGUUGAAAAAGUAAAAUCACAAACAAAAAAAGCUUAUAUCAUGGAGCAAGUCAUUUUUGCGGACAGUACAAGCUACUAGCUAGCCGCAACAAAUUAAACUUCAACUAAAGAGGCAUAUUACUCUUAUUGGUAGUAUGACAAAUUAGUCAGCUGAAUGAUUUCAUUUUCAGCCAGAUAGAGUGCAUGCCAACUAUUCUUGUAUUCUGCCAAGUGGUAGCUUCUCUUCUUAACACCUUCAUGCAGUGUCGUCACAGCUAAAUUUAACAUACAAAUCGAACACGGACCUAGCCAAGAAUCUCUUACUAUAAAUACGUACCCCCCCUUUAAAGUUUUUUCCUAUUAUCCACUACAUAUAAAGUUUAAUUCAAUUUAAGAUAGAAGAUCAAAAAUGGCACAAAAAUUUAGCCCAAGUGCCCAACUACGUACCUUCUUUGCAAUCUCUCUCAUUUUUAUCCUUUUUGCUAACACAGGUGAGUACUACUUAAUAAUUUGUUCUUUAAUUCCCGCCUAUUUUUCUAUAUAUAUAUCCUCUAUAUGCAUGCUGGUGCAAUCGAUCACUAGUGUAGAUUUAGUUUUGCUUUAUCUUAUUCUCACUCACAACCAUGUUAGGAAUUAAAAAAAAAUGUUAUAAUUUGUUUCAAAAUAUGAAUAAUACUUUAUAAUUUGUUCUUUAAUUCCCGCCUACUUUUCUAUAUAUAUCCUCUAUAUGCAUGCUGGUGCAAUCAAUCACUAGUGUAGAUUUAGUUUUGCUUUAUCUUAUUCUCACUCAUAACCAUGUUAGGAAUUAAAAAAAAAAUUGUUAUAGUUUGUUUCAAAAUAUGAAUAAUACUUUAUAAAUGAUCAUACCAGCGCUAAUAUUGCAUUGCACGGGACAAUAAAGCUAUUAAUUCGGACGUGAGUAGUAAUAAGAUCACUGAUUAGUCUUGAUGUUCAGAUUAAUUAGGAUAACAUGAAAUUAUCUCAAAACUUAUCAUCUGUCAAAGAAAGAAUUACAUUUGGAUAGCAGGGAAAUUGUACGUAUUUGUACUUGAUGUCUUUAAUUUAUUGUACAACUAAUUGCAACUUUCUUACAUCUUAAUUUGGACUAGCCACAAAAAAAAAGAAGAAGAAGUUUCAUUCCAUUGACCUUUUUUCUACGAAUUUAAUUUUAUUAUUGUAUGCAUUCAUAAUAAACAAUUUUAAUACGUACAUACAUGUGUUUAUAAAUUUAUUAGAUUAAUUAAUUUUUUGGUGUAUUAAUUGUGCAGAAACAAUUAUAGGUGUUGAGGGAAUAGUAUGUGAAAAACCAAGCUUGACAUGGUCCGGGAAUUGCGGAAACACACAACACUGUGAUAAACAGUGCCAGACCUGGGAAUCUGCAAAACAUGGAGCAUGUCACAAACGAGGCAAUUGGAAAUGCUUCUGUUACUUUGAUUGUUGAUCCAAUACAAUACCUGGGAAUAUAUUAAGAAUCUUAAACCAUGCAUGCAUGAAAAUGCAUGCGAAUAUCCUCGUACUAGCUAUUUAAUUUGAUUACUAGCCUGUUAUUAUGAGUAUGUACAUAGUGUUAUCUAAACAAAUAAGGAACACUAUUUUUAGAUGUAAUUUAGAUAUUUUCAUAUGGUCUUCUCUCAUAAGAGAGUAGGGUGGAUUCCAUCUUUAUUUGAUAGCAGCUCAUGUGAAAAUAUUAUUACAUACGAAAAUAUCAUUUCCCAGUAAAUAAAACGAAAUGCUUCUUAGCUAGCUAGCGCAUGAUGAUGGCUAGAAGUUAUUUCAUGUAUCUGUACGUUUUGAUCGUACGUUUGAUUGUGUUAUGAAUAAAUUAAGGGUUUCUAUGUUUCUUAUCAUGUAGUAGUAUUUUUUAUGGAAGUACUUUUGGGCAAUGUUUGUGAAUCUUGUGAAUAGAUAAGAAAGGGAAAGUUCCUUUAAUUUAUUUGAAAAGAAGAACUUUAUCUUCCCUUGUUCUCAAAAGUAAGCUCACUGAUAAGCUUUUAAUUUUUGGUUAACUCGACUCCAAUAUUUAUCGAAUAUGUCUCUUACUCCAUAACUUUAACGAGAAAUAGGCGCUUGACAGAUUCAUGUAAUAGAACUCACAUUCAAAGGAGAAUUGGAAGAAUCCGUUUUGUUUUUUGAAGUAUGAGGACCCAAAAAAAUAACUCAAACCUCUGUACGCAGAUUUAUUUGAAUCCGAUCACUUAAUGAUCGAUGAACGACAAGUCUUAGACUCACAGGACCUUUUAAGCCGAGCCCGAGUCAAGGCUGCUUUCUAAACUGGCUUCGAGCAUCCGGUUUCACCACCCCUGCCUGCUCUGUCCUUCGGCACUUUCCAGCUUUUUCUCCUUGUUGAUAAAAAAAAAUAUACACAUUGCAGGAGUAUGAAGCUGAGUUUGAGAAGGUUGUCAAGCGGUGGUUGGCAGUUAACCUUAUGCCGUUCCGUACUCUCGCCUACCUAGGCAUCCCGCCCAGGAAAUCCACACCAAGGAUGAAGGAUCUAAUCUAAAGAAGAAUCAUAUAAAAAAAGAUUUUGUUCUACACUUUCAAUCUUUGUCUCUCUCUUUGCCUUUUUCAUUUUCACUAUUUCAUGACUCUCAAGUCAUUUAUUUAAAAAAAAGAAAGUAUUCUAUCUUCACUAAUUUCAAGCCAAAAAUGUUAUGUAUGACGACUUAAAACCGAUAACACACUAUAAAUGUUAAUGAUCUUUAACUUAAUUGUCUUUUUUGUCUAUUCAGUUGUAUGCUGACUAAUCAUGAUAUAUAUAGCAUGGCUAUAGCCCUAAUUUAUUUAAUACUCUCUCCGUUCCUUAAUAUAGGUCGUUUUAGAGUUGUACACAAGUAUUAAGGAAAUGCUUAUAAAACAUUAAAUAUAGUAUCAAUUGUUUAGACUGCCCUUGUAUUGGAAAAAAAAAGAGUAAUGUUAUUUAUUGGACAAAAAAAUAGUGAUAAAACCAAAGUUAUAUUUAUUACUUGGGGUAAUAUUAAAAACUAAGCAAUUAAUGCUUAUUUAAAAUUCUCAAAUCACUUAUAUUUAGGAACAAAAAUAUUUUUCUAAAACGACCUAUAUUAAGUAAGUAAGGAACUGAGGGAGUAAAUGGUAAUGAAAAUCCAAAAUCUAAAGGACCAAGUCCCUUGUUCAAUGGUGUUACCCUCCAUCCAGAAAUUUACAUUUUUCGGAUUUACCGCACAACUCCUUAUGGUAGUAAAAGGAGUAUAUGGGCGUCCUCCACUAAAUUCGAUAAUUCCAAACCAAACUAAAUUACAUCAAGUGAUGAUUAUGUACCAUAUAUAUAUAUAUAUAUAUAUAUAUAUAUAUAUAUAUAUAUACGGUCCGGAUCAAGUGCAUACCCCUUAUCUUAUUCAUCCAUGCUCACCCCCUUUUAGGCCACGAUUUCGGUCAUACAACCGUCGCCUAUACUUUUAGCGACGCUAUAUGUUGUCCGUCGCUAAAAUUAUAGGCGACGGUUGUAUGACCAAAACCGUCGCCUAAAGUGGGGUGAGCACGGGUGAGUAAGAUAAGGGGUAUGCACUUAUCUUUGCUAUAUAUAUAUAUAUAUAUAUAUAUAAUGCAUUACAAUCGGGGAUUAUUCCAGCAGUUAUUAUCUCCAUCAUAUGUAAUUGGUUGUGCCAAGUUGAUAUAUAUCUACUUCAAAAUUUAGGAAACCAAGUAAGAAAUUAAUAGUUAAGGAGUACUCAACUCCAUAAAAGGACUAGACGGGCCCAUACUUUAGGCUCAAUGAAGUUUACUUAAUUGCUUGAAAAAUUGAAGAGCAAACUGCAAAGCAAUACCUGAACAUAUAUGGGUUGGAAUCAAAAUGUCCCAAUGGGCCAAAUGAACCUUUCACUCGACCCAAUCACAGCCCAACUUUGAUAAAUUAUACACCGAGUCAACAUAUGAUUUGAGAGAGUGCCAACUGUCUUGUAUUCUGCUAGGUGGCAGCUUUUCUCCUAACAUUUUCAUGCAGUGUCGUCACAGCAUUACCAUGCAAAUCAAACACGAAACUUUGACCAUAAAUACCCUUAUGCAUUAUCUUUUCUGGGGAAAAAAAGAGACUAUAAAUACCCUUUCAUAUUCUUCUUUUCCUGUUAGGCACAACUUAAAUUUGAGAAGAUCGAUAUAACAUGGCAAAUAAAGCUAGUAGCCUCGUUAGCUUCUUUGCAAUCCUUCUCAUUUUCUUCCUUGUUGUUAACACAGGUGAGCCGGUGACUACUUCAAUAAUUUGUGUUUUAGUAUCAUUGUAAAUUAAUUAAGGGUUCCUUUGUUUUUUUAAUAAUUUUUGGAGUUAAAUCGCAUAGAAUUAAUAUUUUUACGAUUGAAGUAUAUAUAUAUUAUGAUUAAUAUUUGUUUCAAAAUAUAUAAGACAUAAUUUAUUAGUUAUGAUCGUAUCAGCACUAUUGAAACACGUUUUUGGAUGAGUAUUAAGUAUAGUAAUAAGAUUGGUUACUCCAUGGGGAGUGAUCAUAAUGUAUGUUAGACCCUUGAAAUUAAUUAACCUUAAAAUAAAAAUAUUUACAAAUGAUCGAUCUCAUGAUUUUGAAUAUUUUUGCUAUANNNNNNNNNNNNNNNNNNNNNNNNNNNNNNNNNNNNNNNNNNNNNNNNNNNNNNNNNNNNNNNNNNNNNNNNNNNNNNNNNNNNNNNNNNNNNNNNNNNNUAUAUAUAUAUAUAUAUAUAUAUAUAUAUAUAUACACUACAUAAUCAACUAUUCUGAAUUUGCUUAAUUAGAAUAAUUGUUGGUGUAUUAAUUUUGCAGAAACAAUUAUAGGUGUUGAGGGAAAACUAUGUGAAAAAGCAAGCUUGACAUGGUCCGGGAAGUGCGGAAACACACAGAACUGUGAUAAGCAGUGCCAGAACUGGGAAUCUGCAAAACAUGGAGCAUGUCACAAACGAGGCAAUUGGAAAUGCUUUUGUUACUUUGAUUGUUGAACCAAUACCUGGGAAGGGAAUAUAUUAAGAAUCUUAAACCAUGCAUGCAUGCAUGAAAAUGCAUGCGAAUUCCCUCGUACGUGCUAGCUAUUAAAUUUGAUUACCUAGCCUGUUAUUAUUAGUAUGUAGGUAUUGUUAAUUAUCUAAAUAAAUAAAACGAAAUGGUUCUUAGCUAGCUAGCUAGCUAGCUAGCGCAUGAUCAUGAAUAUGGCUAGAAGUUGUUUCAUGUAUCUGUUUUGAUCCAUCGUUCGUACGUUUCAAUGUUUUAUGAAUAAAUUAAGUGUUUCUUAUCAUGCAGUAGUAGUUGUACUUUUUAUGGAAGUACGUACUUUAGGCCAAUAUAAUGUUUGCGAGUCUUAUGAAUAGAUAGGAAAGAGAAAGUUCUUUCAAAACUUUAUCUUCCCUUGUAAUUCUCAAAACUA
rnacentral:lncRNA from 1 species